CCUACGGGGGGCUGCAGUGGGGAAUAUUGGACAAUGGGGGGAACCCUGAUCCAGCCAUGCCGCGUGUGUGAAGAAGGCCCUCGGGUUGUAAAGCACUUUCAGUGAGGAAGAACGCCUGGUGGUGAAUACCCAUCAGGAAAGACAUCACUCACAGAAGAAGCACCGGCUAACUCCGUGCCAGCAGCCGCGGUAAUACGGAGGGUGCGAGCGUUAAUCGGAAUUACUGGGCGUAAAGCGCGCGUAGGUGGCUUGAUAAGCCGGUUGUGAAAGCCCCGGGCUCAACCUGGGAACGGCAUCCGGAACUGUCAAGCUAGAGUGCAGGAGAGGAAGGUAGAAUUCCCGGUGUAGCGGUGAAAUGCGUAGAGAUCGGGAGGAAUACCAGUGGCGAAGGCGGCCUUCUGGACUGACACUGACACUGAGGUGCGAAAGCGUGGGUAGCAAACAGGAUUAGAUACCCUAGUAGUC
rnacentral:rRNA from 1 species